UACAGAGGUCUCAAGCGUUGUUCGGAUUCAUUGGGCGUAAAGCGUGCGUAGACGGCUAUCUAAGUCGGGUGUGAAAGCCCCGGGCUCAACCUGGGAAUUGCAUUCGAGACUGAAUAGCUAGGGUGCGGUAGAGGGAAGCGGAAUUUCCGGUGUAGCGGUGAAAUGCGCAGAUAUCAGGAGGAACACCGAUGGCGAAGGCAGGUCUCUGGGCCGAUACUGACGU
rnacentral:rRNA from 1 species